rnacentral:rRNA from 1 species
GAUGAACGCUAGCGGCAGGCCUAAUACAUGCAAGUCGAACGGUGUCUUCGGACAUAGUGGCGCACGGGUGCGUAACACGUAUGCAACCUACCUUACAUUGGGGGAUAGCCUUUCGAAAGGGAGAUUAAUACCGCAUAAGACAGUAGCUGGGCAUCCAGCAGCUGUUAAAGAUUUAUCGAUGUAAGCUGGGCAUGCGUCCAAUUAGCUAGUUGGUGAGGUAACGGCUCACCAAGGCAAUGAUUGGUAGGGGAACUGAGAGGUCAAUCCCCCACACUGGCACGGAGACACGGGCCAGACUCCUACGGGAGGCAGCAGUGGGGAAUAUUGGGCAAUGGACGCAAGUCUGACCCAGCCAUGCCGCGUGCAGGAUGAAGGCGUUAUGCGUUGUAAACUGCUUUUAUACAGGAAGAAACGACUCUUGCGAGAGGCAUUGACGGUACUGUAUGAAUAAGCACCGGCUAACUCCGUGCCAGCCGCCGCCGUAAUAC